rnacentral:rRNA from 1 species
AUGGAGGGAUCUAUGAACAUUUCGGAUGUGCCAGAUGAUGACCUUUUUGAUUCCGAAAACCGUGUCAUCCAAGAUAGAUAUCAACAUUCUGGCGAACCAAUCAGCCGACACUUCAACAAAGUUUUAGAUGCCAUAAAUGGUUUGCGUGAUGUUUGCAUAACAGAUCCAAACAAUCAAGUCCCAUCAAAAAUAUUGGGUGACGCAAGGUUCUACCCAUAUUUCAAGAACUGCCUAGGAGCAAUUGACGGGACACAUAUUGAGGCAAAAGUCAGGCUUGAUAAGCAAACUCCUUAUAGAAACAGACAUGGUUAUCUGUCUCAACACGUAAUGGCAGUAGUGUCAUUUGACAUGACAUUCUCUUAUGUCGCUGCUGGAUGGGAGGGUUCUGCAUCUGAUCAAGUUGUUCUAAGAUGGGCUGUUACUAGUGGGGGUUUAGUUGUUCCUGAAGGUAAAUCGAGCUUUAUGAGCAUGGGGAAACAGAACAAAAUACUGACCAUGGUGAUCAACAAGUUCAUGGGCAAGCAAGAGAAGAUGAUAGAGUUGCUGGUGAGAGAGUUCGUGGUGCCAUCGCCCGAGAGUUGUGGACUAAACAUCAACAACGCUUAUGAGCUCUAUCCCUCUCUCACCCUCUCCAUCUCCCUCUCUCUAUCUGCAGCUACACGAUGA